rnacentral:rRNA from 1 species
CGAGAAAGCCCGCAAGGGUGAGUAAAGCGGCGCACGGGUGCGUAACACGUGGGUAAUCUGCCCUAGAGUCCGGAAUAACUCGCCGAAAGGCGUGCUAAUGCCGGAUGAGACCACGGGAGCUUCGGCUCCUGCGGGAAAAGGUGGCCUCUGUAUACAAGCUAUCGCUCUAGGAUGAGCCCGCGGCCCAUCAGCUCGUUGGCGGGGUAUGGCCCACCAAGGCUACGACGGGUAGCUGGUCUGAGAGGACGAUCAGCCACACUGGAACUGAGACACGGUCCAGACUCCUACGGGAGGCAGCAGUGGGGAAUCUUGCGCAAUGGGCGAAAGCCUGACGCAGCAACGCCGCAUGUGUGAUGAAGGUCUUCGGAUCGUAAAGCACUGUCGCGAGGGACG